GCAGCCGCGGUAAUACGUAGGUGGCAAGCGUUAUCCGGAAUUAUUGGGCGUAAAGGGAGCGUAGGCGGCACAUUAAGUCUGAGGUAAAAGCCAGUGGCUCAACCACUGUAAGCCUUGGAAACUGAUGAGCUAGAGUGCAGGAGAGGCAAAUGGAACUCCAUGUGUAGCGGUAAAAUGCGUAGAUAUAUGGAAGAACACCAGUGGCGAAGGCGGUUUGCUGGCCUGUAACUGACGCUGAGGCUCGAAAGCGUGGGGAGCAAAUAGGAUUAGAUACCCC
rnacentral:rRNA from 1 species